UGCGCAGGCGGUUUUGUAAGUCAGAUGUGAAAUCCCCGGGCUUAACCUGGGAACUGCGUUUGAAACUACAAGACUAGAGUGUAGCAGAGGGGGGUGGAAUUCCACGUGUAGCAGUGAAAUGCGUAGAUAUGUGGAAGAACACCGAUGGCGAAGGCAGCCCCCUGGGUUAACACUGACGCUCAGGCACGAAAGCGUGGGGAGCAAACAGGAUUAGAUACCCUGGUAGUCC
rnacentral:rRNA from 1 species